UAAGACGAGGGAUCCAAGCGUUGCUCGGAAUCAUUGGGCGUAAAGCGGGCGUAGGCGGCUUGAAAAGUCAGAUGUGAAAGCCCUGGGCUUAACCCAGGAAGUGCAUUUGAUACUGUUAAGCUUGAAUGUGGAAGAGGUAAGUGGAAUUCCUGGUGUAGUGGUGAAAUACGUAGAUAUCAGGAGGAACUCCGGUGGCGAAAGCGGCUUACUGGUCCAACAUUGACGCUGAGGCCCGAAAGCGUGGGGAUCAAACAGG
rnacentral:rRNA from 1 species